rnacentral:tRNA from 1 species
GCCGGUGUGGCUCAGUGGAUAGAGCGUCAGCCCACGGACUGAAGGGUCCCAGGUUAGAAUCCUGGUCAGGGCA